rnacentral:rRNA from 1 species
CCUACGGGAGGCAGCAGUGGGGAAUAUUGGACAAUGGGCGCAAGCCUGAUCCAGCCAUGCCGCGUGGAUGAUGAAGGCCCUAGGGUUGUAAAGUCCUUUCGGCGGGGAAGCGGUACCCGCAGAAGAAGCCCCGGCUAACUUCGUGCCAGCAGCCGCGGUAAUACGAAGGGGGCUAGCGUUGCUCGGAAUCACUGGGCGUAAAGCGCACGUAGGCGGCUUUUUAAGUCAGGGGUGAAAUCCUGGAGCUCAACUCCAGAACUGCCUUUGAUACUGAGAAGCUUGAGUCCGGGAGAGGUGAGUGGAACUGCGAGUGUAGAGGUGAAAUUCGUAGAUAUUCGCAAGAACACCAGUGGCGAAGGCGGCUCACUGGCCCGGACUGACGCUGAGGUGCGAAAGCGUGGGGAGCAAACAGGAUUAAUACCCUUGUAGUC